ACUCAAUAGAUACCCGGGUAGUCCAUGCCGUAAACGUUGGGCACUAGGUGUGGGGACAUUCCACGUUUUCCGCGCCGUAGCUAAACGCAUUAAGUGCCCCGCCUGGGGAGUACGGCCGCAAGGCUAAAACUCAAAGGAAUUGACGGGGGCCCGCACAAGCGGCGGAGCAUGCGGAUUAAUUCGAUGCAACGCGAAGAACCUUACCAAGGCUUGACAUGAACCAGACCGGGCUGGAAACAGUCCUUCCCCUUGUGGGUUGGUUUACAGGUGGUGCAUGGUUGUCGUCAGCUCGUGUCGUGAGAUGUUGGGUUAAGUCCCGCAACGAGCGCAACCCUCGUUCUAUGUUGCCAGCACGUGAUGGUGGGGACUCAUAGGAGACUGCCGGGGUCAACUCGGAGGAAGGUGGGGACGACGUCAAAUCAUCAUACCCCUUAUGUCUUGGGCUUCACGCAUGCUACAAUGGCCGGUACAAAGGGUUGCGAUACUGUGAGGUGGAGCUAAUCCCAAAAAGCCGGUCUCAGUUCGGAUUGGGGU
rnacentral:rRNA from 1 species